rnacentral:rRNA from 1 species
UGGGGAAUAUUGGACAAUGGGCGCAAGCCUGAUCCAGCCAUGCCGCGUGAGUGAUGAAGGCCUUAGGGUUGUAAAGCUCUUUUAGCGGGGAAGAUAAUGACGGUACCCGCAGAAAAAGCCCCGGCUAACUUCGUGCCAGCAGCCGCGGUAAUACGAAGGGGGCUAGCGUUGCUCGGAAUUACUGGGCGUAAAGCGCACGUAGGCGGACUCUUAAGUCGGUGGUGAAAUCCUGGAGCUCAACUCCAGAACUGCCUUCGAUACUGGGAGUCUUGAGUUCGGGAGAGGUGAGUGGAACUGCGAGUGUAGAGGUGAAAUUCGUAGAUAUUCGCAAGAACACCAGUGGCGAAGGCGGCUCACUGGCCCGAUACUGACGCUGAGGUGCGAAAGCGUGGGGAGCAAAC